rnacentral:ncRNA from 1 species
AAAAAACCGUUGAUACGGAGAUAAAGGUGAUUAUGAUCCCACAGAGAGCCCGCGAAGCUGAGAGUCGGGUGGAAAACAAAUCAUCAAAUGGACCGUUGAGGGCAUAGUCAAAGGCUUAGCUGAGUAUUCUAUGACGUGGAGACAUACGUUAGUUGUCGGGGAUAUGAUAGUAUCCUACUAAGUGUGCGUUUUUUCGCAAAUCAAGGUGGCAACGCGGAUAAUUGUAAUUUUAUUCGUCCUUGAC